CCCUAAGGGCUUUCUAUAAGAGGCUUGUUUCCUUCAUUGUCAAAGAGAUUUUUACAAUACCAAGACUGAGAAACGACUGAGAAUAACAAGCACCGUUUCUUUUUGCAAUUAGAACACUGAAAUACAUAGAGUUUUGAUAACUAGAAAAAACACAAAAAAAUCGAGCACUAUUUCAUUGCAACCAGGCUUUUCUUCACAUUUUUUGGUUUUUAGAAGCUUGAAUCACUACUAUUUUCUGGACUCAAAGCAUGUAUAUUUCCGAGCUUGAAGUGAUAAUAUGAACUUGUAAAAUACUGAUUUGGAAUGGGAUUUUAGGUCACCUGGCUGGAUGCUUCUUUGUUUGUUGCUCAUGAUACUGUUUCGAUUUUAUUUUAAGUUUGUCAAUGCUGACUUAGUAUAGAUGGAUGAUUUGAAUGUUUAAGUUGUCUUAGUUUAUUCCUAAGUGUUAAACAAUUUGUUAUACUUAGUAGUUGUAACUAUUUGGGACGGUUUCUUUCAAAUGAUUGUUGAGAUGUAAGUUCAAGUGUUUGUAUUGUUAAGCAUGAUGUUAGGUAUAGAUAUAAUGUUGAUCUUUUGGGUGAAUUUCAGAAUUUGACCUCUUUUCGUGAUUAA